AAACCAACCAAGUCAUGCGCAUCAUCUUUCACUGUUGAGGUUUCACCUUGAUCUUGAGACUGAUUGUAGCCUUUACCUUUGUUGCGGUCAAGCCACUUAUAGCAUUGCUUCUUGACAUGACCCUCUUUUCCGCAGAUCCAGCAGGUUCGCUUACUAUCCUUUGAUUGAGAUCUCGACCUGGACCUGUUCUUAGAUUUGCCAAAAUUCACAGUCCUACCAGUUCUAGAUUCAUUUCUUCCUCUAGCAAAAUGACCUUCUCCAUUAGUCCUAACAGUUGAUGAAUCUUCGUACUCGGUUUCUUUUGAUCUUGCUGCGCUUGCUACUUCAUCUAAUCUGAUAGCUUCCCUACUAUAUUUCAAUGUCUCUUUCAGAGAAUCAUACCUAGAUGGUA
rnacentral:lncRNA from 1 species